UACGGAGGGUGCAAACGUUGCUCGGAAUCAUUGGGCGUAAAGCGCACGUAGGCGGCCUGUUAAGUCGGGUGUGAAAGGCCUGGGCUCAACCGAGGAACUGCUUUCGAGACUGCCGAGCUAGAGUGCGGAAGGGGCAACCGGAAUUCCCAGUGUAGCGGUGAAAUGCGUAGAUAUUGGGAAGAACACCUGAGGCGAAGGCGGGUUGCUGGGCCGACACUGACGCUGAGGCGCGAAAGCCAGGGGAGCAAACGGG
rnacentral:rRNA from 1 species